GCCUAACGGCUGAACCAGCAAUUUGGAAGAAUGAACAACGAAUAAAUCGUAUAAAAUUCUAGAUAGAGAAUAGAUAAUGACAAAUUUCUAUCUAUAAGUCUUGACCAAAUUACGUGCCAGCAGUCGCGGUAAUACGUAAAAGACUAGUGUUAUUCAUCUUUAUUGGGUUUAAAGGGUACCUAGACUGUAGGUAAAGCCAAAAUAAGGAACUAACUUACUAGAGUUUUAAAGAGGAAGACCGAAUUGCCAGAGGAGAGUCUGAAUUUUUUUAUACUGGUGGGACGGGUAACGGCGUAGGCAAUCUUCCAAGUAAAAACUGACGUUGAGGGACGAAGCCUUGGGUAGCAAUCAGGAUUAGAUACCCUAGUAGUCCUUGGAGAAAAUUAUGAGUGCUAUAAGUUAAAUUCUAGCUUAUAAACGAAAGUGUAAGCACUCCACCUCAUGAGUAAAGCGGCAACGCCCAAAUUGAAAUCAUUAGGCCGUAUCUGAAAUCAGUAGUGAAGU
rnacentral:rRNA from 1 species